CACGAGGGCCUGGUGAUAAAGGACAUGGGCUUUUGACCAUUGCCAAGCUUCAGCUGAAGGACUGGGGCUGAUGGCCGUUUGCAAACCCCACAAGCUCACAUGUGCUGUGGCUGGCUCCCUCUUACCUGCCUCUCUCCUGCCUGAGACAUGCUAAGUCCUCAUGUCACACUUGGAAUAGCACGAGAGUUGCAGCAGAGACCAAAGACUGACCGACUGUCCCCAGUGAGUCAGCGGGGAAGAAUGUAACACCCAAAGUUAACCUGUAAGCCCUACGUGCUCAAGGACCAGGAUUAACAACAUUAAUAAGGCAAUUGGAAAAUUGGUGUCAUUUGCUCUUCUUGAGGAGAGGCCUGAACCAGGAUGGCCUCUGGAAAGUGGAGGCCUGCUGAUUCCCCAGUAGCAGUGAUUGGCAGGCUGCAAAGGGGCAGAACAAGAAUAUCCUGUAACUGCGCCUGUUUCCCCAUCCGCUUGAUCAGCUUCACUUAAGACAUUCCCAGAGUUUGGAUGAGAUGCUGGCUUUCCACGGAGGAGAGAGAAGGUUCUCCAAGACCCUGAAGCAGUGUGGAAGCUGCGUGCUACUUGGUGUCAACACUAGUGGAACAGUAAAGUCUCUGACUUUAAAAAAAAAAUACCUACUUUCCCCUCUGCCUAUAAAAAAUAAAUGGCCAUUUGAAAAAUUUUAAUUUGAACAUUUAAAUACAAAAAUAAAAUUCUUAUAAUUCCACCAUGUGGUUAUUAUAACUUCUAAUAUUUGGCAUAUUUAUAAAAUGCACCGUGUGUAUGCACACACGUGUGUGUCUGGGCAUGCUUAAUUAUUAUCCUGAUUCUAGACUGAUUUAUUUGAGUCUUUUAGCCCCCUCAGGAGACAAAGAUUAAUAUUACCAACAUUUUCAAGAGGAUGUGGGGUUCCAGACUCAUCUAAGCAGUCUAAGAAAAGAUUCCUCAGCUCAGAUCCCACCAUGUCUUUGGGGUUAUGUUUCCACGUAAGAAGAGAAACAGAAGGGAUGAAUUAAUUUGUUAUGUUGAUGAUGGUACACAUUAUACCUUAGUCGUGCUAUGUUCUUUCUUUUCUACUUAAAAAAAAAAUCUUAGGCACACUUAUUUCCCUUUCUAUAAAUUAUUUCAAACAUUUUAACUGUGGCAGACCAAUUGGUUGCAUUUUUGGAAAAUAGAAUAGUU